rnacentral:rRNA from 1 species
AGAGUUUGAUCAUGGCUCAGGACGAACGCUGGCGGCAUGCCUAAUACAUGCAAGUCGAACGAGCUGACAGAGUGCUUGCACUCUCGACGCGAGUGGCGGACGGGUGAGUAACACGUGGGAAACCUACCUGUAAGUAGGGGAUAACAUUCGGAAACGGAUGCUAAUACCCUAUAGGUUUCAGUUCCGCAUGGAACUGAAAGGAAAGACGGCUUUGCUGUCGCUUACAGAUGGUCCCGCGGCGCAUUAGCUAGUUGGUGGGAUAAAAGCUCACCAAGGCUGUGAUGCGUAGCCGACCUGAGAGGGUAACCGGCCACACUGGGACUGAGACACGGCCCAGACUCCUACGGGAGGCAGCAGUAGGGAAUCUUCCGCAAUGGACGAAAGUCUGACGGAGCAAUGCCGCGUGAAUGAAGAAGGUCUUCGGAUCGUAAAAUUCUGUUGUUAGAGAAGAACAAGGAGUAGGUAACUACUACUCCCUUGACGGUAUCUAACCAGAAAGCCACGGCUAACUACGUGCCAGCAGCCGCGGUAAUACGUAGGUGGCAAGCGUUGUCCGGAUUUAUUGGGCGUAAAGGGAGCGCAGGCGGUGACUUAAGUCUGAUGUGAAAGCCCACGGCUCAACCGUGGAAGGUCAUUGGAAACUGGGUCACUUGAAUAUAGAAGAGGAAAGUGGAAUUCCAUGUGUAGCGGUGAAAUGCGUAGAUAUAUGGAGGAACACCAGUGGCGAAGGCGACUUUCUGGUCUAUUAUUGACGCUGAGGCUCGAAAGCAUGGGUAGCAAACAGGAUUAGAUACCCUGGUAGUCC